UUUUUGUGCAUCGUGUGCACGUUGUCGGACAAAAAUAAUGGGAAGAAAAGCAGAAUUUUUGCAAAAAACCCAUCAAAGGGCCUGGCCGAAAAGCAAGAAAGCAGAAAGAACCUCAAUUGCCAAAGAAAUUACAAGAAAAAGAUCCAAAUUUUGUUAGCAGAAGGGCCAGAAAAAGAUUGAAAAAACAAGAUGUAAAGAAAAAUCAGUUGAAAAAUAAAGUCGAACCGGUUGAAGAGAAGUUUUCCGAUUGUGAUGCGUCUUUGGAAUCCUCAGAUGACGAGCACAUUUCUAAGAAGCCAAAGCUUUUUACGGAUGAUAAUGCAGACUGGUUGAAACCCAAAGACAAGAGUGAUUUGUUUGAAGGAUCUGAUGAUCAGGAUGAGG